GGCAGCGCGAGGCGGCAGGUUCGCAUCUGCCGGCGGCGCCGGAGGGACGCGGCUGCGAGAGAAGAAAUACUAUUUUCUGCAUACCUUGGUACAUUUAUAGAAGCACAGGAAACCACCAGUGACAUGUGCCUACUCUUGAUGUAACCACAUCUAAAAUAUUGUUGGUCUGUGAUACAGGACAGAGUGACUUUUGAAAGAUGGAUUCAUGCUCCAGGCAGUAGCGCUCAGCAGCAUUCCUCAACCUAGGAGGCAGAAAGAAGGAGAAACUUGCUCAGAGAGAGCAAGCUUCAGAGGCAACUUCCUGGGAGAACAACUUCCUGCUGAUGUUGAAGACAAGAGGUUCCCCUUCCCCCACUCCUUGUGACAGUACAGCUCCAAGGCUGACAUCGGAUGCAUCCAUUAAGUGUGGCGCAAAUGUUUCAAUGUGGCCUCUAUCCACUCCGUCCCAGAGGCUGGUCCAGAUUCGAAGGCAGAAAAAAUGAACUCAAGAAGACAUGUUCGCCAAGCUCAUGCAGUCCUCUCGCACUGAUAAGGCCCAGCUGAAUACAUGGAGGCAAACAAUUGUGGAGUCUUGUAAAGCAUUACAGGAACACGAACAGAGGAGAGACGCACAUGAUGAGAGCAGGCAGGACGCUAUGGUCGAGCUCAUGGGGGAGCAAACUGACAUGCUCCGCUGUAUGGUGGAUCUAAUGUGGGAAAGGCAGCAAGACCAGUCUUUUGCUGCAGCCCCUGUAUAACUGCCCUCCCUCCUCCCCAAGUUCCAUAGCUUCCUCACCCAGAUGCCUAAGAACAUGAGGGGGAGGCUAUGGGGAUCCACACACUCAACCUGAGGAUCGCCCAAGCAGCAUAAAGCUGGCAUAUGCAAACCUUUGAUUUGGUUUCUCAACUUGUCCUUCACUCCUCCUCCACCCCCUUAACCCAACCCCACCCCAGUCUGCCUUCUGAUUUCUCAAUGUG